AACGAACGCUGGCGGCAUGCCUAACACAUGCAAGUCGAACGAGACCUUCGGGUCUAGUGGCGCCCGGCUGCGUAACGCGUGGUAACCUGCCCUUAGGUUCGGAAUAACUCCCCGAUAGGGGUGCUAAUACCGUAUAAUUUCUUCGUACCAAAGAUUUAUCGCCUUUGGAUGGGCCCGCGUUGGCUUAGCUCGUUGGUAGGGUAACAGCCUACCAUGGCGACGAUCCAUAGCUGGUGUGAGCGGAUGAUCAGACACACGGAGACUGAGACACGGCCCAGACUCAUACGAGAGGCAGGAGGGGAGAAUAGUGGAAAAGGGGAGAAAGCCUGAUACAGCAAUGGCGCGUGAGUUAAGAAGGCCUUAGGGUUGUAAAGCUCUUUUACCCGGGAAGAUAAUGACAGUACCGGGAGAAUAAGCACCGGCUAACUCCGU
rnacentral:rRNA from 1 species